rnacentral:lncRNA from 1 species
GCCAUGGCCACGCCUGUGGCACCCGGCUGCGCGACGAGCACUUCCUCAAGGGAGGCUGCAGCCAUGGGAUGGGCAAGAGGUUGGACGUGCCCAGGGUUGGAUCGUGUCAGACAAGAAUUCCACGUGGGCGAGGGGCCAGGGGGCUGAGCGUGUGUGGGGAGCGUGAUGAAAACGAAGAACGCUACCCUCGUAUGGACAGAAGUGAGGCUGCAGAAGGUUCUGGAUCUUUGGACUCAGCUGUACAUGGAGAGAGGCAAAGAGGCAACGACAACAGCACAGAGAAGACGUCUCCUCUUCCUCGAGCUGUUCGUAUGUCACUUCUUAUGGUGGAAACUUCCCCAUCAGGGAACCAGACCACCCAUCUGCUGGUUGUCAUACUGUGGUUUGGCUGAGUUGCUGUGAUGCUGACAGCUAUGCUACCCGGAUUUCAAAUACCAGAAGGGUCACCCAUGAUGGGCAGGUGUCAGUGGAGCUUCCAGACUAAGACAGACCAGGAAGAAGGACCUGGCCACCCACUUCUGAAAAACCUGGCCAUGAAAAUCCUGUGAGUAGCAGUGGAGCACCGUCUGAAACAGCGUGGGACGUGAGAGGACAGCUGAGAAAGACCAGGCAGGGUCCCCUCUGCUGUGCACAGGGGCACUAGGAGUUGGAAUCAACUUGACAGCACUGACGACGACGACGGUGG